UACGUAGGGGGCAAGCGUUGUCCGGAAUUAUUGGGCGUAAAGCGCGUGUAGGCGGUCCGGUAAGUCGGUUGUGAAAGUCCAGGGCUCAACCCUGGGAUGCCGAUCGAUACUGCCGGACUAGAGUCCGGAAGAGGCGAGUGGAAUUCCUGGUGUAGCGGUGGAAUGCGCAGAUAUCAGGAGGAACACCAAUAGCGAAGGCAGCUCGCUGGGACGUUACUGACACUGAGGCGCGAAAGCGUGGGGAGCGAACAGG
rnacentral:rRNA from 1 species